CCAGACUCCUACGGGAGGCAGCAGUGGGGGAUAUUGCACAAUGGGGGAAACCCUGAUGCAGCGACACCGCGUGGGUGAAGAAGCGCUUCGGCGUGUAAAGCCCUAUCAGUGGGGAAGAAAAAGGACGGUACCCAAAGAAGAAGCACCGGCUAAAUACGUGCCAGCAGCCGCGGUAAUACGUAGGGGGCAAGCGUUAUCCGGAUUUACUGGGUGUAAAGGGAGCGUAGGCGGUUAGAUAAGUCUGAUGUGAAAGCCCACAGCUUAACUGUGGGAUUGCAUUGGAAACUAUAGAACUAGAGUGUCGGAGAGGUAAGUGGAAUUCCUAGUGUAGCGGUGAAAUGCGUAGAUAUUAGGAGGAACACCAGUGGCGAAGGCGGCUUACUGGACGAUGACUGACGCUGAGGCUCGAAAGCGUGGGGAGCAAACAGGAUUAGAUACCCCCGUA
rnacentral:rRNA from 1 species